GAGUUUGAUCAUGGCUCAGGAUGAACGCUAGCGGCAGGCUUAACACAUGCAAGUCGAGGGGUAACGGGGAAGCUUGCUUCCGCCGACGACCGGCGCACGGGUGCGUAACGCGUAUACAAUCUACCUUGUACUGGAGUAUAGCCUUUAGAAAUGAAGAUUAACCCCCCAUAGUCUCUUAGAGUGGCAUCACUUCUAGAGUAAAGGUUACGGUAUAAGAUGAGUAUGCGUUCUAUUAGUUUGUUGGUGUGGUAACGGCACACCAAGACUACGAUAGAUAGGGGCCCUGAGAGGGGGAUCCCCCACACUGGUACUGAGACACGGACCAGACUCCUACGGGAGGCAGCAGUGAGGAAUAUUGGACAAUGGAGGCAACUCUGAUCCAGCCAUGCCGCGUGCAGGAAGACUGCCCUAUGGGUUGUAAACUGCUUUUAUACAGGAAGAAACACCUCUACGUGUAGAGGCUUGACGGUACUGUAAGAAUAAGGAUCGGCUAACUCCGUGCCAGCAGCCGCGGUAAUACGGAGGAUCCAAGCGUUAUCCGGAAUCAUUGGGUUUAAAGGGUCCGUAGGUGGAUAAUUAAGUCAGAGGUGAAAUCUUGCAGCUCAACUGUAAAAUUGCCUUUGAAACUGGUUAUCUUGAGUUAUUAUGAAGUAGUUAGAAUAUGUAGUGUAGCGGUGAAAUGCAUAGAUAUUACAUAGAAUACCAAUUGCGAAGGCAGAUUACUAAUAAUCAACUGACACUGAUGGACGAAAGCGUGGGUAGCGAACAGGAUUAGAUACCCUGGUAGUCCACGCCGUAAACGAUGGUUACUAGCUGUUUGGACUUCGGUCUGAGUGGCUAAGCGAAAGUGAUAAGUAACCCACCUGGGGAGUACGUUCGCAAGAAUGAAACUCAAAGGAAUUGACGGGGGCCCGCACAAGCGGUGGAGCAUGUGGUUUAAUUCGAUGAUACGCGAGGAACCUUACCAGGGCUUAAAUGUAAGUUGCAUUAGUUAGAGAUAGCUAUUUCUUCGGACCACUUACAAGGUGCUGCAUGGUUGUCGUCAGCUCGUGCCGUGAGGUGUCAGGUUAAGUCCUAUAACGAGCGCAACCCCUGUUGUUAGUUGCCAGCGAGUCAUGUCGGGAACUCUAGCAAGACUGCCAGUGCAAACUGUGAGGAAGGUGGGGAUGACGUCAAAUCAUCACGGCCCUUACGUCCUGGGCUACACACGUGCUACAAUGGUAGGUACAGAGAGCAGCCACUGCGCGAGCAGGAGCGAAUCUAUAAAACCUAUCACAGUUCGGAUCGGAGUCUGCAACUCGACUCCGUGAAGCUGGAAUUGCUAGUAAUCGGAUAUCAGCCAUGAUCCGGUGAAUACGUUCCCGGGCCUUGUACACACCGCCCGUCAAGCCAUGGAAGUUGGAAGUGCCUGAAGUCCGUCACCGUAAGGAGCGGCCUAGGGUAAAGUCGAUAACUAGGGCUAAGUCGUAACAAGGUAACC
rnacentral:rRNA from 1 species